rnacentral:rRNA from 1 species
GCGGAUGCCUUGGCUCUCGGAGGCGAUGAAGGACGUGAUAAGCUGCGAUAAGCUUCGGGUAGGUGCAAAUAACCUUUGAUCCGAAGAUUUCCGAAUGGGACAACCCGGCAUUCUGAAGGAAUGUCAUCCAUCCUAGAUGGAAGCUAACGCAGGGAACUGAAACAUCUUAGUACCUGCAGGAAAAGAAAAUAAUAAUGAUUCCCCANNNNNNNNNNGAAAAGAAAAUAAUAAUGAUUCCCCAAGUAGUGGCGAGCGAACGGGGAUUAGCCCAAACCAAUGUUGUUACGGCAAUAUUGGGGUUGUAGGACCACGAUGUCGCAAGAAAUUUAGUGAGAAGAACCCUUUGGAAAAUGGGACCAUAGACGGUGAUAGUCCGGUAUUCGAAGCUAAAUGAAGCGUAGUGGUAUCCUGAGUAGCGCGGGACACGAGGAAUCUUGCGUGAAUCUGCCGGGACCAUCCGGUAAGGCUAAAUACUCCCGAGAGACCGAUAGCGAACCAGUACUGUGAAGGAAAGGUGAAAAGCACUUCGAAUAGAAGAGUGAAAUAGUCCCUGAAACCGUGCGCCUACAAGCGGUCGGAGCAGCGUAAGUUGUGACGGCGUGCCUUUUGCAUAAUGAACCUACGAGUUACUUUUUCCGGCAAGGUUAAGCAUUUCAAAAUGUGUAGCCGAAGCGAAAGCGAGUCUGAACAGGGCGAUUAGUCGGAAGGAGUAGACGCGAAACCAAGUGAUCUACCCUUGGUCAGG